GUGUCUGAGGACAGCUACAGUGUACUCAUACCUAAAAUAAAUAAAUAAUUCUUUAAAAAAUUUUUAACCAAAACCAUGAGAAGAAUGGUUGUGACCAAGGGCCUGCUUUUCUACUUCCCCCUUCAGAUCUUACACAUCAUCCCCUAAGGAAAGUGAACAUUUCACUCAGCACUGGGCAUGAGGUCCACACUUCAGAUGCUCCCCUGGCCUCUGUGCAGCCUCCUUUGCCCUCACUGGGGGCCUCCCUGAUCUUGAAAGCCAACUCUCCACCCUGCACGCCUUCUGGAAUUUGUCUCCCUAAAUAAACUAAACCCUUGCUUCCAGAGGCGCCACCCCACAUCAUCUCAGCUCCACCUUCUCAUGUAAUUUGUUGCAUGGCCACUAAAACUACAAGUUUCAGACAUAGGAAGAGAAUCGCCUAAAUCUUUGAGGUGGCUGGAAUUUUUCUUGUAUUAUUCCUGGCUUCAUAGACAAAGUGUACAGUGCCUAGCCCGAUUUGUAGGAGCCAGUAUUAGGAUCAGUCUGUCUUCAAAUACAAGUUAACAAUCACAGUCUCCCUGUCCCAUAGUUCUCAGGGGUUAUUCUGCCCAUUCAUUUAUACAACAAAUAUUUGGUUAGCACAAUGCCAUCUGCCUUCAGGAAGCGUUUGGCACAGGAAGCAGAUCCAGAUACUUGCUUACAAAGCAAGUAAGCAGACGGAACCACAAACCCCACAGCAACUCAGAGGAAACUUCUAGAAUGUCUUCCGUAACCUCAGACUCCUAGGCUUCACCUCUCAGAGUGAACGUGGGCAUCUUUCCUUCAAGGCUAUAACUGAUUAGGAAACAAGUCCCCUCCUAGAUUACGUUAUGUGAGAUCCAUGGGCUGACUGAGUCCAAACUAGCAUGUGGGACACUUGGCCACCACUGCCUUCACUAUGAGUCCUCUUUCAGAAGUCCCCACAAGGAAAGAACAAGAGCCAUUAAGGCGCGGUCCUCCCGGGCCCAACAACUUCCAAACGAAGCCCUUAUUUCUGGCCAAAAAUAAUCCGGUUCCCCACGACCUGGGGGGAGGGGGCAGGAAUGGGCGCGCAAAGGGCUGGGGCUUCCGCUCACACCCUUGUGCAUCUGGGUAUUGCGGAGAGCCUCAGGAGUGCCCCGACCUGCAGAACCCUCCGAGUGUUGAUGGACCCUACUCCCAACCCCCGUGUCCUCGCUCUAUGUACGUGCUGUGCGACCUUCCGUAAAUUACACAACCUCUCUGGGCCCCGCCUCAGCAGGUCCUUAGUUUUCCGAAGAUCCCACCCGCCCCACAGGCCUGGGUAGUCCGCUCACCUCCAGAAGCGGGUGCGCUCGGACCAGCUCCGUAGCCGACAGUGGCAGACGGACGCGCCGCCCGUCCACCAGCAGAGGCAUUGCCUAGGCCGCCGCCAGACCGAAGUACGAGGUUACAGCCCUGCAACACACCGCGCCACCCCGCCCCACGCCAUACGACGCCCAUCGUGGGCGCCACGCCUACCGCGGAGUCUGCCGGGAUGCGUAGUCCAGACAGACGUGGAGCUGCCCAAAGGGAUAAAGAUGGAAUAGCCGUUGAGUCGCAAGGCAUUACGGGAGAUGUAGUCCUAACUUUGUGGGAGGCCACUCACUAUCUGCGUCCUUCGCAGCAGGGAUUUGGCCUGGCGCUGCUUGUACCCCAAGAUCUGGUUGCCUCAAGACAAGCAAAUCCUCACAUAUACCAGUUUAUAUUGAAUAACGCCUCACCCUCAACCCCACUCCUGUUUAUCCCUGAUUGGUUAAUGAAGGUGCCUUCAGCCAGCAGCUGGGCAGAAGAGAGUUUCAGAUAGACCAGGAGGAUGAAGAAACUGGAGCCAUGAGAAAGGGAUCUGGAGCGAGAUCACAGAAACACACCUGAAGCCCAAAGAACACGACAAUAAGAAUUAGGGUCAUGGAUGGAGGUAUUCAGACUACCUUUGAGGUUAACAGAUUGUUUAACUACUCAGCCAGAGAGGUGCUGCUUGAACUAAAGCUUGGUUUCUCUGUGUGCUUUCCGGAGACUAGCGUAAGAUAAAAGAAAUACGGCUGCUGGGCUAAUUGAACAUUUAUAUUAAAAAUAAUUCACUUUAUACAUCCCUGUUUGAAGUUCUUACUCCUGCUGAUUUGGGCCAACGCAUCAUUAUCUGGGCUUUAGUUUCAUUCUAUGGUUUGACAAGUUUUUAGGUCUUGUUGAAAUCUCCCCUGAAGACAAGUUCCCCUUCAGGCUGGUGCCCUUUCCUUCUUCCAGCAUGAGAUUCCUGGAGAAAUUCGCAUUUCUUCCAGAUCUAUUGUUUGGAGCUGGAAAGUUGGCUCAGCGGUUAAGAGCACUG
rnacentral:sRNA from 1 species